rnacentral:rRNA from 1 species
GACGUAGGUGGCGAACGUUAUCCGGAAUUAUUGGGCGUAAAGGGCGCGUAGGCGGUGCUGUAAGUCUGUGGUGAAAUCUCUGGGCUCAACUCAGAGUCUGCCAUAGAAACUGCAGUGCUGGAGUGUGGGAGAGGUGAGUGGAAUUCCCGGUGUAGCGGUGAAAUGCGUAGAUAUCUGGAGGAACACCGGUGGCGAAGGCGGCAUCCUGGACCAAGACUGACACUGAAAAGCGAAAGCCAGGGGAGCAAACGGG